rnacentral:misc_RNA from 1 species
ACUCACGACUCCACUGUUGGUACAGUCAUAGCUGAUAUUCCGGCGACAGAUGGGGAUAUACGCACUUUUGGUGAGAUUACGUAUUCCAUCGACCAAACUUCAACCGGGGGAACAUACUUCAGAAUGAACUCUGAUGGUGGGCUGUACGUGGCGUCAGAUUUAUCCUCUUUCAGUGCGGGGGCCUCAAAAGACAUCAUUAUUACCGCCACUGAUGGCGGCGGCCUGACAACCACCACCACGGUUACCAUAGUGAUCCCAGGUGUUCCCACUACCACUGUUUCUACAACCACAGACAGAUACAUGACUUUUUUCGAGGACACUCGGAAUGUGGCGUGGUUUGUUGUAUGUAUGUCUGUCCUGUUGGGCCUUUUUAUACUGAUCUCAUUUAUCAUCGUCCGCUAUGGUGACUUCUCCUGGAUGAAAAGACUGUGUGAUGAAUUAGCCAGGCAAUGCAAAGGAAAACGCCGCUCAAAAAUAAGAAGAGAACCAAUAAAAAUGUCCUACGUAGAACCAGCUCGUGUGCGUACUUCGGCUACAAAGAUUACUUGGGAGGCAUGGAGAACGAGCGAUAAUCGCUUUUAUUGACACACACGUCAGACAUUGAAAUUAAUAUUUAAUCAAAAUUGACACUGAGUUGAAUUUUGUUAAUAUUUAUUUUUUGGUUAUAAAGAAACUUUUUUUACAAACAAUAAAUGUUUGAUUUUG